UACGUAGGGAGCAAGCGUUGUCCGGAUUCACUGGGUGUAAAGGGUGCGCAGGCGGGAGAGUAAGUCCGAGGUGAAAUCUCACAGCUUAACUGUGAAACUGCCUUUGAUACUGCUUUUCUUGAGUUCGGGAGAGGUUGAUGGAAUUCCAGGUGUAGCGGUGAAAUGCGUAGAUAUCUGGAAGAACACCAGUGGCGAAGGCGGUCAACUGGCCCGUAACUGACGCUCAGGCACGAAAGCGUGGGUAGCGAACAGG
rnacentral:rRNA from 1 species